GUAGGUGAACCUGCGGAAGGAUCAUUAACACGUUCUCCACGUUUAUAUCCACUUCUCUAACAAACCACCACGAACUGUGCUCCCUGUCGACCAACUUGUCAGCUGCUCCUCCUAGGUCUAUUGGGUACCUUGUCUGGCUUAACGCCGUUAGCGACUCCAUGGCGGGUACACCUAGCACGGGCUUGUCGGUCUUCGAGACCGAGGCUGGCAGACCGGUUCGUCAGGCUUAUUUUAAUCAACCUGCCUCUCUUUCCAACUAGAGAGGGGUGGCGCGAUGACCCCAAACCACCAAUUUCACCCUAUUUUACCUAUUUGACUAAUUACCUCAAGUUCGUCGAGAGAAAUCUCGGUUCAUACGAACUGAAUUAAGAUUUAUCUUAACUAAGCACAACUCUUAGCAAUGGAUAUCUUGGUUCUC
rnacentral:misc_RNA from 1 species